UGUUGCACAACAAUUUAAAUCCAUCUGAAGUUACUGCAUUUUAAUACUUCAAGUGUGUCUAUAAUGGCAGAGAAUGGGGAAGGAGUCCUUGUUUAGAGUUCAAGGAUAGAAAAGAUAGACUGGCCCCUAUCCAUUCAGCCCUCACGUACAGAAAAUACCAAAUUCUGCCAAGAUGUACAGGGUAUUUUGCUUCAUGUGUGAAGAGAAGAGCGCUGCCUGGAGGAUUCUCAUGUCAGUGCCAGUAAAAGCAGAAGCCAGAGAAGCUUGCUUGACCACACUGCCCAGCUGUAAUGAAUGAAUGGAUAACAUCUGAUUGUUAAACAGGGCCACAUUUCCAAAUGGAUCUCCGAAGGGCAUGAUGGAGUAGCCAGCAUGGAUUUCCUGCAAUUACUAGACUAUGCUCUACAGAGCAUAAGUGGUUCCUGAAAUACAUAUCCAUUCAAGAUGUGGAUUCUGGGUAUUGUUUUCAGACUAUUCAUAUGUUCACAAGACCAACUUGGAGCCCCUAAGUAGAUUCUGCACACAUCAAAUUAAAUUUAAGCUUCAAGAGCUAUUUGCUCAGGAUUCUUGUAUCUACCUUCACAUUGGACCAAACCCUGCUUUUGAGAUGCACGCGCUGAAACAUGGAUAUGAAAUAUCUGCAAACUGGGGGGAAGAAAAUUAAAUAAAGCACUUAAAAGAUGUACCAUAUGACCUGUUCUUUACAUCUGGCACAUCUCACACUUCACAGUUGAGAGGACGUGGAAAGACUAAAACUCUUCAUUGCCUCGGUGCAAAGCAUGGACAACUGCAGCCUGAACCACCACAGGCACUACUAGAGAAGGUCUAAGCUCAGAAGAAAACAACCUGUGUGCUGGUGAUGUACAUCUCUGUAUAAGCACCUUCGGAAGAAGUCUAUUUGUGAUUUGAGGACAGACUGCCAUUUUAAACUAAGUUAUGCCGAAGAUCUAACACCAUAGUCCACAAUAUGAAGCUUCUGAAAUGUGGAGGAUGUGACAGCAGAAGAUCUCUGAUCCAUCACCGAAUUAUUUGCUAAACUUCAACUUCAAUCAACAGAAGCAAGCAAAAUUCAUAAGAAGUUCCUUUGUAGGAAAGCCCAAACUCACCAAUAGCAAAUGAAAGUCUUCUGAGGAAAAAGUCCUGAAGAAAACGGUACUACAGCUAAAUUACAUGCUGGAUGAGCUUUGGCACUGAAUCUCACAAAGUUUAUGAAAUUACUGCACGCAGCUUCAUAAGGAGUCGUGAAAAGUGAAGAAGGACCUGGUACUAAUUCACACCACACUGUGCUACACAGUGCUCCUGGCUGCAUCGCACCUGUUGAUGUUUGUGUGCCAAGGUACAUUACGCCAACUGCAAUGGCAAGGAAGGUACGGCUGCAACUAAGCCUGCAAACAGGACAGCUGCAUCUCAGGGAGCACUGCUCUCCAGCACCAGGCCAGG
rnacentral:lncRNA from 1 species